CCUACGGGCGGCUGCAGUGAGGAAUAUUGGUCAAUGGGCGGGAGCCUGAACCAGCCAAGCCGCGUGAGGGAAGAAGGUACGGCGUACCGUAAACCUCUUUUGUCAGGGAACAAAGGCGGGGACUAGUCCCCGGAUGAGGGUACCUGAAGAAAAAGCAUCGGCUAACUCCGGGCCAGCAGCCGCGGUAAUACGGAGGAUGCGAGCGUUAUCCGGUUUUAUUGGGUUUAAAGGGUGCGCAGGCGGCCUGUUAAGUCGGCGGUAAAAGCCCGGGGCUCAACCCCGGCGAGCCGUUGAAAGUGGGGGGCUGGAGUUGGAGAGAAGUGCGCGGAAUGCGCGGUGUAGCGGUGAAA
rnacentral:rRNA from 1 species